UGCUGUGGCGGUGGCUGUGCCGGGGCCUGGGCUCGGGGUCGGGGCUGUGUGCUCGCGGCCUCUGGGCUCAAGGCAGCGGGAGGCGGCGGCACCGGGAGCAGUGUGCUGUGGUCUGGUUUCCUGCCCCAGACUCGGAGUCUGUGUCCAUCACGGAAGGCUGUCCGGAACUUUUCCAGCUCCUCUAUCUUCACGUCAGACACCAACGGAGUCCUGUAGCUCA